rnacentral:lncRNA from 1 species
CGUAAACCCCGUUGAGCCUUAGCCAUUUUAUUCAUUGUAAACCCCAUGUUAACGUUUAAGCAUUAUUCAUCAUGAACCCCCUAUUAACUUUUAAUCAUCCAUUUCCUUUUAUGUCAUAACUCGGUAUGAUUGUGUGAAUUGCAAGAUGUGCAAUAAAACUAAGUUUGGGGUGGAAAUCUUGAAAGGGAAGGCAAGUGCAUAAGAUGAGAUCAUACAAAAAGAAAAAUAGUAUGUAAUUUCUUUUAAAAAAAAGAAGAAGAAAAGAAAAGAAAAGAAAAACAAAAGAGAAAAAUGCACUUGCCGAGACCGUAGAUUCUAACAGAUAUAAAAUGCUCGGAAAAGUUGAGUAGAAUCAAGAGAAGUGAAAUUAACCCCGAGAGUAUAUGUGAUGCACAGAAAAAAAGAAAAGAAAAAUCACACAACAUGACUACCGAGUUCAAAACCCUUUGUUAUCCCAUUUUUUUUGUUUAUCCCACCGUACCCAAGCCCCGUUACAACCAAAAAAGAUCUCAAAAAGUGUGUGGAAUCUACUGUGGUAGUGACAUUAGAAUGUAUUCAAAGUUAAGAGUUGGUAUUGCAUACUGUGCUGUGAGUGUACACACCUAACCCUGAGAGAUAUUGUGAGUGUGUGAAAAGCUUGCAGGUGAAGAGGUUUCUGAUGUGGAAAUGUGGUAAACUGCCUGAAUCGGAGAGACCUGAAACUCGAUUGGAAAGGAAGAACACAAAGGGUGAAAGACUAGGUUGCAUUGUGGAAAGCGAAUUCGGGGGUGACCUUUGUUUGGACUCAAUACAUCACUUGAGGACAAGCAAUGAGACAAGUUUGGGGUUGUGAUCGGUCACCAUUUCCAUUGAAUUCCCGCCGCUAAUCCGACAUAUUUUCAUCACCUUGGUAAGAUUUAUGGUUGUUUUUAGUUGCAUUUGAGUCAAUUAGCAUGUUUUGUUGGUUUGGUAUUGCAUUGCAUUUGAUUACGAGUUUAUGUCAAAAAGAUCUCGUUUAUGCUUCGUUUGGUAGUGUUAUUGUUACAGGUUUAAAAGCAAGAAUGGUGAAGUUCUGGACACUCUGAAGGACAAAAAUAUGAGAAAACAGCAGGUCAACACGGGCACCCGUGUGCCACAACACUGCCCGUGUUGCUGAUCAAGCAGAGCAGAGAGGGAGCAGAAAACAGGGAUCAACACGGCCACCCGUGUGCCACCACACGGCCGUGUUGAUUAAAAUAGUGCAUUAACACGGGCACCCGUGUGUAGGGACACGACCCGUGUUGUUGCCACUGUAACUUAUGCUGAAAAUAAUUAAUGUUGAAGAACAACACGACCGCCCGUGUGCCACAAC